rnacentral:tRNA from 1 species
GGGGGCGGAUCGGGCCUGGUGGUCCGACUGGUCUUCAAAACCAGCUGGGGUCCGUAUGGACCUCGGUAGGUUCGAUCCCUACCCGCUCCCGCCA